rnacentral:rRNA from 1 species
GAUGAACGCUAGCGGCAGGCCUAAUACAUGCAAGGCGAGGGGUUCGCAAGGACACCGUCGUACGGGUGCGUAACGCGUAUGCAACCUACCUAUCACAGGGGGAUAGCCUUUGGAAACAGGGAUUAAUACCGCAUAAAGCAGGGGCUUGGCAUCAAGAUACUGCUAAAGAUUUAUCGGUGAUAGAUGGGCAUGCGUCUGAUUAGUUAGUUGGCAGGGUAACGGCCUACCAAGACGAUGAUCAGUAGGGGCGUCAGAGCGUGGUCCCCCACACUGGCACUGAGAUACGGGCCAGACUCCUACGGGAGGCAGCAGUAGGGAAUAUUGGGCAAUGGGUCAAGCCUGACCCAGCCAUGCCGCGUGGAGGAAGAAGGUCCUCUGGAUUGUAAACUCCUUUUGUCGGGGAAGAAGAGUCAUCUUGCGAGGUGAUGUGACGGUACCCGAUGAAUAAGCCACGGCUAACUACGUGCCAGCAGC